rnacentral:rRNA from 1 species
UAAAUAGACCAGCCGGCUUUGGCUGGCUGCUGUCUUCUUAGAGGGACUAUCAGCGUUUAGCUGAUGGAAGUUUGAGGCAAUAACAGGUCUGUGAUGCCCAUAGAUGUUCUGGGCCGCACGCGCGC